GUUUGCCAUUUACGGCAACACUUACAAGUUCAAUUCAGGGUCAAAAUCAUUGCUAUAUUUUGGAUGGUUAUUUUUGAACUGAUUGAUUGGUGGAUUACUGUAAUUGAAGGAACUAUGGGAAAGUUCUCCUUCCCAAGGCUCAUCAUAAGAAUGCCAUGGGCAAAUCGGACUGCACAGGACGAUUUCUGCACAGGAACUACUGAACUCCACAGGCCCAGAACACACCAGCCUCACAACUCCUCACAACUCCCCAGCCUUAAUGUGUGUAGGCAGGGCAAGGAGGACAUCGAUUCAACCCAGAAGAAGAGGAAAAAGAAGAGGCUAAAUGAGAAGGGAACCCAGGUUGAACUAGGCAUGCGGG